AGUGAACGCUGGCGGUAGGCCUAACACAUGCAAGUCGAACGGCAGCACAGGAGAGCUUGCUCUCUGGGUGGCGAGUGGCGGACGGGUGAGGAAUACAUCGGAAUCUACUCUGUCGUGGGGGAUAACGUAGGGAAACUUACGCUAAUACCGCAUACGACCUACGGGUGAAAGCAGGGGAUCUUCGGACCUUGCGCGAUUGAAUGAGCCGAUGUCGGAGUAGCUAGUUGGCGGGGUAAAGGCCCACCAAGGCGACGAUCCGUAGCUGGUCUGAGAGGACGAUCAGCCACACUGGAACUGAGACACGGUCCAGACUCCUACGGGAGGCAGCAGUGGGGAAUAUUGGACAAUGGGCGCAAGCCUGAUCCAGCCAUACCGCGUGUGUGAAGAAGGCCUUCGGGUUGUAAAGCCCUUUUGUUGGGAAAGAAAUCCAGCUGGCGAAUACCCGGUUGGGAUGACGGUACCCAAAGAAUAAGCACCGGCUAACUUCGUGCCAGCCGCCGCGGUAA
rnacentral:rRNA from 1 species